AGAGUUUGAUCCUGGCUCAGAUUGAACGCUGGCGGCAGGCUUAACACAUGCAAGUCGAGCGGAGUGAUGGUGCUUGCACUAUCACUUAGCGGCGGACGGGUGAGUAAUGCUUAGGAAUCUGCCUAUUAGUGGGGGACAACAUUUCGAAAGGAAUGCUAAUACCGCAUACGCCCUAAGGGGGAAAGCAGGGGAUCUUCGGACCUUGCGCUAAUAGAUGAGCCUAAGUCAGAUUAGCUAGUUGGUGGGGUAAAGGCCUACCAAGGCGACGAUCUGUAACGGAUCUGAGAGGAUGAUCCGUCACACUGGGACUGAGACACGGCCCAGACUCCUACGGGAGGCAGCAGUGGGGAAUAUUGGACAAUGGGGGGAACCCUGAUCCAGCCAUGCCGCGUGUGUGAAGAAGGCCUUUUGGUUGUAAAGCACUUUAAGCGAGGAGGAGGCUACUUUGGUUAAUACCCAGAGAUAGUGGACAUUACUCGCAGAAUAAGCACCGGCUAACUCUGUGCCAGCAGCCGCGGUAAUA
rnacentral:rRNA from 1 species